CCUACGGGAGGCAGCAGUGGGGAAUAUUGCACAAUGGAGGGAACUCUGAUGCAGCGACGCCGCGUGAGUGAAGAAGUAAUUCGUUAUGUAAAGCUCUAUCAGCAGGGAAGAAAGUGACGGUACCUGAAAAAGAAGCUCCGGCUAAAUACGUGCCAGCAGCCGCGGUAAUACGUAUGGAGCAAGCGUUAUCCGGAUUUACUGGGUGUAAAGGGAGCGUUGACGGCUGUGCAAGUCUGAAGUGAAAGCCCGUGGCUCAACCGCGGAACUGCUUUGGAAACUGUAUAGCUUGAGUACUGGAGAGGCAGGCGGAAUUCCUAGUGUAGCGGUGAAAUGCGUAGAUAUUAGGAGGAACACCAGGGGCGAAGGCGGCCUACUGGACAGGAACUGACGUUGAGGCUCGAAAGCGUGGGGAGCAAACAGGAUUAGAUACCCUGGUAGUC
rnacentral:rRNA from 1 species